UGCUGCAGUCCAAGGCAAAAGAUGAGAUUGCAGCAUACAAGCGGGAAUCCUCACUCACAGGUGAGCAAAAUACUAUGGCCUACCACAUAAUCUGGCAACUUGCUCCUGCUGGCAAAGUUAAUUUACAUGCCUAAGUACUGUGUUCAUUGACUGUUUCUUUCUAGGGGGUGGACCACCUGCAAAGCGGCUGUCCCAGGUGGCCGACACUGUCUUUCAAGUCCUGGGACACUCUGAGGUCAGUGUCACCGGGCUGCCAACAGGCAUUGACACGUCAAUGAUGCAGGCCCUUGAAAUGCAGCAAAGCAUUGAGCCAUCACAAGAACCGGGCCCAUCAAGUUUGCCGCCUGAACCAUCUGCAGCUGCUACUCAGGAUAGCCCGGCGGAUCAAACACCAUUCCCAUCCGCAGCACCUGCUCCGUCAGCAUCCCUGCAGGAGAGAAGAUUGCAACUCACAAUUGAUGUGUUUGAACAACAAAAAAAAGUCCUUUCCCUUCAGGAGGAGUACUACCGCCUUAAAAUUGAACACCUAAAAAAUAAACCAUUUAGAGAUUG